rnacentral:rRNA from 1 species
AGAUUGAACGCUGGCGGCAUGCCUUACACAUGCAAGUCGAACGGCAGCACGGGAGCAAUCCUGGUGGCGAGUGGCGAACGGGUGAGUAAUACAUCGGAACGUGCCCAAUCGUGGGGGAUAACGCAGCGAAAGCUGUGCUAAUACCGCAUAAGAUCUACGGAUGAAAGCGAGGGAUCGCAAGACCUUGCGCGAAUGGAGCGGCCGAUGGCAGAUUAGGUAGUUGGUGAGGUAAAGGCUCACCAAGCCUUCGAUCUGUAGCUGGUCUGAGAGGACGACCAG